UUCAUUGCAGUUUCAUAACAGCUAAGAAGCUAUUCAAGAUCUUGCUGUGAUUUGGUGAACAGUUUUCAUGAAUAUGCUUUCAGUUUAACAGAAGUCCUUACAGUGAAUGGGGUCUUGAACACAGUGUGCCGGGACCAGGCUGUUCUUGCACUGCUGGGAUCACACUGAAGCAGUCGGACAAUGGAGGGAUCAUUCUUCGCUCCCUCGACGAACUCCUCCAGGGACAGUUUACCUGUGAGAGACAUAAAUGAGUUUAACAGCUCUUUUUUUAUAACGCAUGAACUGCUGCAAAAGCUGGCAGAAGGAGGAGGAAGAGACAACAAGCACAACCGCACCAACUGUGAGUGGGAAGCCAGUUUUUAAGGACAGACACAGAAAAAUCAAGAAAAUGGAUUUGUGCUUAAAAUGUAGCUGCAAUAAAACUGAAAAAAAAAAUUGGAAAAAGCAGUGAGCCAUGAAGUAACAGGCCUCCUCUCCUGUAAUGACGCAAUUUAAAACAAAGCAGUUAAAAAGACUGAUAACUGCUGCUGCUGCCAGUGAAACAGUUUCCUCUAAAUUUGAAGAGCACCUUCAAAAUUUAGAUGUGCGUUGUGUGUGUAGGGUGGUGUCGUAACCGGGCUCUCUUUAUAAGACAACCCGUGCAAACAGAAGGUUUGAACAGAAGGCGGGUGGGGCUGCUGUAGACACAGUCAUAGCUGACUGAUCUCAUUGUAGGGAGAUCCUGUCAUGAUUCCAGGGUUUUGUGUGGAUUUUGAGCUUUUUUGUUUGCUUUUAUUAUUAACAUCACCGUUAAUGUUAUUAUUAAGUCGUGAUUUCUCUUUAGUUUCACUGCUGUUUAAGCCCUGCUAGUUUUUUUGUGGUUGCUACUGUCAGGUUGAGGGUUUCCAUACUUGUAAAUGUGAUCGUGAAGCUGCGUCCACACAGGAAAUCAUUUAUAAUUACUAAAUGGCGAUGCAAAGUGGGCGGAUCCUAAGAUGAACUUUUCUCAACUACAAGGUGAGCGAUACAAGCGUCUACCCAUGGCGGCAGAGAUUAUAAGCAAUUGCAAGGUAAUGCAUAGGUUGCAGGGUUACCGUGGCAACUGGAGUCUGGAAUCUCUGUUGGCUUCAAAGCGAUAGGCGAUGAAGGAAUCACUUCCUGUCUGGACGAGGCUUUACUUCUUAUUGAAUUUAUGGAGUUUUAGUGGUCUGGUGUCAGUUUUGAAUUCUUGGUUUUUAUUUGGUUUCACUUCCCAUUUUGAAUUCCUCUUCCUGGGUUUUUAAGUUCCCUCUGUUCAACCCUGUGGCUCUUCUUCCUCUUUAGAUCUUAUUUAGAGUUUGCCUCCUUAUAGCAGUGCAGUUUCACCUUUUUUAAACCCCUUGGCUUUCGACCUUUUUACUUCCUGCCUUUACAAUCGUCUUGAUUGCCUUCACCUUCGUUUCAUUCCCCAUCAGCUCUCAGUGUAUAAACAGUCCCAUUUUCCUUGCAGAUCAUCUAUUGAUGUUGUCCAUGUUUUCUGUGUUUUCUCCCUACGCACUGCUGGAUUCCUGAUUUUCUUUACUUAGUGUAGUUUUUGGACUACAAACAGCCAAUAAAGUGCUUGCUUUUGAUUAAACUUAAUGUCCUCUCUCCACUACCAGAGCUUAUACAUACUCAUGCUGAGCUUUGUAUUUGAAAACUGCAAUGUUGAACAUGAGCAUCCUUUGCUGACAUUAAUAUAUGGAAAUAAUAAGAACAGAUAAUAAGGAGG